ensembl:lncRNA
GAAACUUGGAAUGACUUUUCAUAGGUUUCCCAGAGACUAUGGGUUGAGGAGGAAUUGGAAGUUUGUCGGCUUAGACCUGGUGUCAUUCCAUCAGUGUUAAACUUCCCAGCUCAUCUUGGAAGAGCACGUGCCAGAAAGACCACGACCAAGCAGCCUUGAGAUCUUAGACAGCGUCUCCCUCAGGUCCCUCUCUAUCUCCCCACACAUCCACCAACCACUGGAACACAUCUCCAAAGUUCUGCCGGGCCAGCUCAGCUUCCCCUCAGAAGUGCCGCCACCUGCCAGAUGAAGGAGCCUUUUGAGAGGCAGCUGGCAUCGUGAUUGGACUGUACUUUGGUCUGUUCCAAUCCAGCUUCAGCUCCAGAGACGGCAGGCGGGACGAGUCAACGGAGGCCGGGUGGACGAAGGCAUGAAGCUGAGUACAAUCCAGAAAACAACAGAGGAGGAGUGCAGGGCCAGAACAACCAGAGUAGCAUCGUAUGUCUCUUAGAAAACAUCAUAGUAUAGCCUUUGGUAUGAAAAAACGGCAUUAUAUACAUCGUAUAUUGUACAAAUAACAAGUCAAAGCAAAGAGACAUACAUUGUAGAAUUGUAGUAAUUGUGGGCUGACUGAUUUACUGAUUAUCAGUAUUUUAUUUUUUACUGAUUUACGGUAAUAAAUACAUUUAAAAAUGGCGCUACUUUGGCUCUGAAC